GACGAACCGUGCGAACGUUGUUCGGAAUCACUGGGCUUAAAGGGCGCGUAGGCGGCUCCGAAAGUCCGGGGUGAAAGCCCCCAGCUUAACUGGGGAAGUGCCUCGGAUACUGCGGAGCUCGAGGGAGGUAGGGGCGGAUGGAACUCCGGUGGAGCGGUGAAAUGCGUUGAUAUCGGAAGGAACGCCGGUGGCGAAAGCGAUCCGCUGGCCCUCUACUGACGCUGAGGCGCGAAAGCCAGGGGAGCAAAGCGGG
rnacentral:rRNA from 1 species